rnacentral:rRNA from 1 species
UACGAAGGGAGCUAGCGUUGUUCGGAAUCACUGGGCGUAAAGCGCACGUAGGCGGAUGUGUCAGUCAGGGGGUGAAAUCCCGGAGCUCAACUUCGGAACUGCCUUUGAUACAGCACGUCUUUGAGUCCGAUAGAGGUGGGUGGGAAUUCCUAGUGUAGAGGUGAAAUUCGUAGAUAUUAGGAAGAACACCGGUGGCGAAGGCGG